AUGCAGUAUUGACAAAGAGACUUGAAUAUUAUGAAAGUUCUUCUACUGUCACUUCACAUUGAAGAAUAUGCUGCUAGAAUAAAAGCUCUAGUUUGAGGGAGGGGAUCGUUCGAAUGGUUUUUUCCCAUAGAAUGAGUAUACAUUU